GUGUCAGCCGCCGCGGUAAGACGAACCGUGCGAACGUUGUUCGGAAUCACUGGGCUUAAAGGGAGCGUAGGCGGGCUAUCAAGUCUGGGGUGAAAUGCCGCGGCUCAACCGUGGAACUGCCUUAGAUACUGACGGCCUCGAGGGAGAUAGGGGCAUGCGGAACUGUAGGUGGAGCGGUGAAAUGCGUUGAUAUCUACAGGAACUCCGGUGGCGAAAGCGGCGUGCUGGAUCUCUUCUGACGCUGAGGCUCGAAAGCUAGGGGAGCAAACGGGAUUAGAAACCCUUGUAGUCC
rnacentral:rRNA from 1 species